rnacentral:rRNA from 1 species
AUUGAACGCUGGCGGCAGGCCUAACACAUGCAAGUCGAACGGUAACAGGAAGAAGCUUGCUUCUUUGCUGACGAGUGGCGGACGGGUGAGUAAUGUCUGGGAAACUGCCUGAUGGAGGGGGAUAACUACUGGAAACGGUAGCUAAUACCGCAUAACGUCGCAAGACCAAAGAGGGGGACCUUCGGGCCUCUUGCCAUCGGAUGUGCCCAGAUGGGAUUAGCUAGUAGGUGGGGUAACGGCUCACCUAGGCGACGAUCCCUAGCUGGUCUGAGAGGAAGACCAGCCACACUGGAACUGAGACACGGUCCAGACUCCUACGGGAGGCAGCAGUGGGGAAUAUUGCACAAUGGGCGCAAGCCUGAUGCAGCCAUGCCGCGUGUAUGAAGAAGGCCUUCGGGUUGUAAAGUACUUUCAGCGGGGAGGAAGGGAGUAAAGUUAAUACCUUUGCUCAUUGACGUUACCCGCAGAAGAAGCACCGGCUAACUCCGUG